rnacentral:tRNA from 1 species
GUGCCCGUAGCUCAACUGGAUAGAGCAACGGCCUUCUAAGCCGUAGGUUGCAGGUUCGAACCCUGCCGGGUGCGCCA